rnacentral:rRNA from 1 species
AAAGCAAUAGCUGAUUGCAUUUAAUUUAAUGUAGUUACUACUUGGUAGUUUAAAUUUCUAGGUAGAAUUAUGAUGAUGACAUUAUCUAUCUAUUAGUCUUGACCAAAUUACGUGCCAGCAGUCGCGGUAAUACGUAGAAGACAAGUGUUAUUCAUCUUUAUUAGGUUUAAAGAGUACCAAGACGGUUAAUAAAGCCCAAAAGAAAUGAAUACGGGGGACACAUUAACUAGAGUUAUAUGAAAGGAAGCUCUAAGGUACUGUUGAGUGUAGAGAUGAAAUUUUAUUAUACCAGAUGAUUGGCACAGAUUUAUGCGAAGGCAUCUUCUUAUGUAAUAACUGACGUUGUAGGACGAAGGCUUAGGAAAUGAACAGGAUUAGGUACCCCAGUAAUCUAGGCAGAAAAUGAUGAAUGUCAUAGGUUCAAUAGACAGUUUAAAUAGACUAUCUAAUAGUAAAUAGGUGGUAUAUUAAUAAGUCUUGUGUCUAUAAAUGAAAGUGUAAGCAUUCCACCUCAAGAGUAAUUUGGCAACAUUGGAACUGAAAUCAUUAGACCGUUUCUGAAACCAGUAGUGAAGUAUGUUGUUUAAUUAGAUGAUACACAAAAACCUUACCACAAUUUGAAUAUAUAUAAAAUAUAUUUACAAGCGCUGCACGGCUGUCUACAGUUAAUGUCGUGAGACUUUGGUUAGCUCCAUUAAAUUGACGUAAACCCAAAUUUUAUUUAUAAAUAUAAUUAACAUUGCUAUAUUUGAUGUAUUKAGAGGGAMAWGACA